rnacentral:rRNA from 1 species
UGCAAGUCGAGGGGCAGCACGAGGUAGCAAUACUUUGGUGGCGACCGGCGCACGGGUGCGUAACGCGUAUGCAACCUACCUUUAACAGGGGCAUAACACUGAGAAAUUCCGACUAAUACCGCAUACGUCCUCCGGGGGCAUCCCCGGGGGAUGAAAGAAUUAUCGGUGAAGGAUGGGCAUGCGUGAUAUUAGGUAGUUGGCGGGGCAACGGCCCACCAAGCCCACGAUAUCUAGGGGUUCUGAGAGGAAGGUCCCCACAUUGGUACUGAGACACGGCCCAAACUCC